rnacentral:rRNA from 1 species
UACGUAGGUGGCAAGCGUUGUCCGGAUUUACUGGGUGUAAAGGGCGUGUAGGCGGAGCUGCAAGUCAGAUGUGAAAUCCCGGGGCUCAACCCCGGAACUGCAUUUGAAACUGUAGCCCUUGAGUACCGGAGAGGCAGGCGGAAUUCCUAGUGUAGCGGUGAAAUGCGUAGAUAUUAGGAGGAACACCAGUGGCGAAGGCGGCCUGCUGGACGACAACUGACGCUGAGGCGCGAAAGCGUGGGGAGCGAACAGG